UACUGUUGUUCUCAAUUCUAAACUCAGGAACUGAGGCCACAUCAUCCUGGAAGACUAAGAGGAGACACUACAUCCUGUGCAGGAACCUCAACUACUUGAAAGAAAGUGAAAUAAUAAGCCCAGGGAUGACCUUGUAAGGAGGCAAGUUCAUGUGCUGUUCAUCUUAGUGAUCUGCCCAUUGCCAGCAGCAGUGACCCAAGACUAGGCAGAUAUUGAUGCUGAAAAAAGAUCCUGAUCCUGCUGCUUUGGCUUUUACUUACUGACAUGGGAACCCAUUGUGGUUGUUGGCAUCAGGAUUGGCUCUGAACCUAAUGAUAUCACAUCUAGGCGACAGCAACCUGCACAUCUGUUUUCAAGGCAACCACCACCAUAUUCCCAGAAUCCACUUGGUCUACCUCCCACCUGUACCUUCGAACAGCUAUGCCACUAGUCACUAUCCAAAUAAAAGAAAGACCCCUCUGACCUCUCCCCCUACCCCCACUUCUCCUCGCCUCCACCUUUGCCCUUUUCUCCUACAAUAAACCUUACAUGGAACUGU